CUGCAGUGAUGAGCCUUGGAGAUGACCUGGUAUUGUCUCCUUCAGGGGAGAGCUCUGACCAGGGAAUGAUCUUAACUUUAAUCUUCUCUCUGAGCAG